rnacentral:rRNA from 1 species
AUACGGAGGGUGCAAGCGUUACUCGGAAUCACUGGGCGUAAAGCGCGCGCAGGCGGCCUGAUAAGUUGGAUGUGAAAGCCUACGGCUCAACCGUAGAACUGCAUCCAAAACUGUCAGGCUAGAGUGUGGGAGAGGAAGAUGGAAUUAGUUGUGUAGGGGUGAAAUCCGUAGAGAUAACUAGGAAUACCAAAAGCGAAGGCGAUCUUCUGGAACAGUACUGACGCUGAGGCGCGAAAGCGUGGGGAGCAAACAGAAUUAGAAACCCGAGUAGUCC